rnacentral:rRNA from 1 species
GACGAACGCGGCGGCGUGCUUAACACAUGCAAGUCGAACGAAGAGCGAUGGAAGCUUGCUUCCAUCAAUCUUAGUGGCGAACGGGUGAGUAACGCGUAAUCAACCUGCCCUUCAGAGGGGGACAACAGUUGGAAACGACUGCUAAUACCGCAUACGAUCUAACCUUGGCAUCGAGGAUGGAUGAAAGGUGGCCUCUAUUUAUAAGCUAUCACUGAAGGAGGGGAUUGCGUCUGAUUAGCUAGUUGGAGGGGUAACGGCCCACCAAGGCGAUGAUCAGUAGCCGGUCUGAGAGGAUGAACGGCCACAUUGGGACUGAGACACGGCCCAGACUCCUACGGGAGGCAGCAGUGGGGAAUCUUCCGCAAUGGACGAAAGUCUGACGGAGCAACGCCGCGUGAGUGAUGACGGCCUUCGGGUUGUAAAGCUCUGUUAAUCGGGACGAAAGGCCUUCCUGCGAAUAG